AACGAACGCUGGCGGCAUGCCUAACACAUGCAAGUCGAACGAGACCUUCGGGUCUAGUGGCGCACGGGUGCGUAACGCGUGGGAACCUGCCCUUAGGUUCGGAAUAACUCCCCGAAAGGGGUGCUAAUACCGGAUAUUGUCUUCGGACCAAAGAUUUAUCGCCUUUGGAUGGGCCCGCGUUGGAUUAGCUAGUUGGUAGGGUAAAAGCCUACCAAGGGGACGAUCGAUAGCUGGUCUGCGAGGCUGGUCAGCCACACUGGGACUGAGACACGGCCCAGACUCCUACGGGAGGCAGCAGUGGGGAAUAUAGGACAGUGGGCUGAGGGCUGAUGCAGCAAGGCCGCGUGAGUGAUGAAGGCCGUAGGGUUGUGAAGCUCUUUUACCCGGGAUGAUAAUGACGGUACCGGGAGAAUAAGCGCCGGCUAACUUCGUG
rnacentral:rRNA from 1 species